ACGUAGGGGGCAAGCGUUGUCCGGAAUCAUUGGGCGUAAAGCGCGUGUAGGCGGCCUUGUAAGUCCGUUCUGAAAGCCCGGGGCUCAACCCCGGGAGGCGGAUGGAUACUGCAAGGCUCGAGUACGGAAGAGGCGAGAGGAAUUCCCGGUGUAGCGGUGAAAUGCGCAGAUAUCGGAAGGAACACCAAUGGCGAAGGCAGCUCGCUGGGACGUUACUGACGCUGAGACGCGAAAGCGUGGGGAGCAAACAGGA
rnacentral:rRNA from 1 species